rnacentral:rRNA from 1 species
GUGGGGAAUAUUGGACAAUGGGGGGAACCCUGAUCCAGCCAUGCCGCGUGUGUGAAGAAGGCCUUUUGGUUGUAAAGCACUUUAAGCGAGGAGGAGGCUACCGAGAUUAAUACUCUUGGAUAGUGGACGUUACUCGCAGAAUAAGCACCGGCUAACUCUGUGCCAGCAGCCGCGGUAAUACAGAGGGUGCAAGCGUUAAUCGGAUUUACUGGGCGUAAAGCGCGCGUAGGUGGCCAAUUAAGUCAAAUGUGUAAUCCCCGAGCUUAACUUGGGAAUUGCAUUCGAUACUGGUUGGCUAGAGUAUGGGAGAAGAUGGUAGAAUUCCAGGUGUAGCGGUGAAAUUCGUAGAGAUCUGGAGGAAUACCGAUGGCGAAGGCAGCCAUCUGGCCUAAUACUGACACUGAGGUGCAAAAGCAUGGGGAGCAAACAGGAUUAGAAACCCUUGUAGUCC